AACGAACGCUGGCGGCAUGCCUAACACGUGCAAGUCGAACGAGACCUUCGGGUCUAGUGGCGCACGGGUGCGUAACGCGUGGUAACCUGCCCUUAGGUUCGGAAUAACUCCCCGAAAGGGGUUCUAAUACCGGUUAAUGUCUUCGGACCAAAGAUUUAUCGCCUUUGGAUGGGCCCGCGUUGGAUUAGCUAGUUGGUAGGGUAAAAGCCUACCAAGGCGACGAUCCAUAGCUGGUCUGAGAGGAUGAUCAGCCACACUGGGACUGAGACACGGCCCAGACUCCUACGGGAGGCAGAAGUGGGGAAUCUUGGACACUGGGCGAAGGCCUGAUCCAGCAAUGCCGCGUGAGUGAUGAAGGGCUUAGGGUUGUAAAGCUCUUUUCCCCGGGAUGAUAAUGACCGCACCGGGAAAAUAAGCACCGGCUAAACCCGUG
rnacentral:rRNA from 1 species